rnacentral:rRNA from 1 species
GACGAACGCUGGCGCCGUGCUUAACACAUGCAAGUCGAACGGUAAGGCCCUUCGGGGUACACGAGUGGCGAACGGGUGAGUAACACGUGGGUGAUCUGCCCUGCACUUCGGGAUAAGCCUGGGAAACUGGGUCUAAUACCGGAUAGGACCCUGGGAUGCAUGUCCUGGGGUGGAAAGCUUUUGCGGUGUGGGAUGGGCGCGCGGCCUAUCAGCUUGUUGGUGGGGUGAUGGCCUACCAAGGCGACGACGGGUAGCCGGCCUGAGAGGGUGACCGGCCACACUGGGACUGAGAUACGGCCCAGACUCCUACGGGAGGCAGCGGUGGGGAAUAUUGCACAAUGGGCGCAAGCCUGAUGCAGCGACGCCGCGUGAGGGAUGACGGCCUUCGGGUUGUAAACCUCUUUCAGCACCGACGAAGCGCAAGUGACGGUAGGUGCAGAAGAAGGACCGGCCAACUACGUGCCAGCCGCCGCCGUAA